AUGAUGUGGAUUAAUUCGAUGCAACGCGCAGAACCUUACCUAGACUUGACAUCCCGGGGAUUUUCUGGAAACAGAGAAGUGCUUUAGCAAUAAAGAACCCGGUGACAGGUGCUGCAUGGCUGUCGUCAGCUCGUGUCGUGAGAUGUUGGGUUAAGUCCCGCAACGAGCGCAACCCUCGCCUUUAGUUGCCAGCAUUCAGUUGGGCACUCUAGAGGGACUGCCGGUGUCAAACCGGAGGAAGGUGGGAUGACGUCAAGUCCUCAUGGCCUUUAUGUCUAGGGCUACACACGUACUACAAUGGCCGGUACAAAGGGCAGCCACUCAGCGAUGAGGCGCUAAUCCCAUAAAGCCGGUCUCAGUCCGGAUCGCAGUCUGCAACUCGACUGCGUGAAGUUGGAAUCGCUAGUAAUCGUAGAUCAGCAUGCUACGGUGAAUACGCUCCCGGGCCUU
rnacentral:rRNA from 1 species